CGCACCUGAAAUCUGCACUGACGCCGCUCAACAAUACCGCAACACAACUAGACGACCUCGCCUGGGGCGUGCCGUCGGCGGCUCCGACACCCCGGCGUAGCUAAUAGCGUGCCGAACCCACUUUAUUAGAUGACAAAUCGGGCUUGCUAGGAGGCAGAUCAACAUCUCCUGCCCGUGGCUUCGGUCAUCGGCGGUCAUAUAACCUGAAGAGCAUCCGUGCAGAUGCAGUGCAGACGGAUUACCGUAAAGCUGCGGCCUCAUCGUUCUUGGUUAAGCGACGCAAACCGCAGCCUCCUGCUUGUAACUGUUUAAUUGGAAUUCUACUUUCGUCGCAGCAAGGAAAUUUUGGAAAUAAGACAUCCUGCUCAUUAUUCCGCUGCAGAUGGCCAAGGGGCCGUCUGCGAAUACUUCAUCUGCAUACCUUCGUCAUCGUCGUAAGUGUCGCCGUCUGAUACAGUGUCGAAAGAGGAGCUUGACUUGAAGUCCGUGUCGAGGAAGUCAUUGAAGAGGCAUCCUGCUUUGCUCCAGUGUACUGCAAAAGUCGUCUCAGGCUUUAGUGCGAGAGCUUCCCGUUCCAUAAGACUGGUCUCCAGUUCGAGUACAUGCACUUACAGCAAAGGAGAAGCAUCAGAACGGAGUACAGACAGAACCUCAUCUUCAUGAAAGAUUACUGACGCGUUCAAGUGGCGCCCUGUUGUCCUAACGGGAUGAACGACAAAGACGACAUUAGUAUCCAGAAAGAGUAGCAAAACACAUCGUACAACAGGUGUUUAGAAAAACGGCUAGAAUGAUGCGUGACUGCACUCGUAGGGGGCGCUUCGAAGCCUCCCGUUUUCUAUCAAGCAUAACUUGCGCUCUAGCGCGCUUGCACAAGGUGCCAUAUUCCGGAAAACCAAACAUACAUUCAUUCUCAG